rnacentral:rRNA from 1 species
UACGAGAGGCCCAAACGUUAUUCGGAAUUACUGGGCUUAAAGAGUUCGUAGGCGGCGCAGAAAGUAGGGUGUGAAAGCCCUCGGCUUAACCGAGGAAUUGCGCUCUAAACUACUGUGCUUGAGGGACCUAGAGGUGAGCGGAACUGAUGGUGGAGCGGUGAAAUGCGUUGAUAUCAUCAGGAACACCGGAGGCGAAGGCGGCUCACUGGGUGUCUUCUGACGCUGAGGAACGAAAGCCAGGGGAGCGAACGGG